UAGGGAAUCUUCCGCAAUGGGCGAAAGCCUGACGGAGCAACGCCGCGUGAGUGAUGAAGGUCUUCGGAUCGUAAAACUCUGUUAUUAGGGAAGAACAAAUGUGUAAGUAACUAUGCACGUCUUGACGGUACCUAAUCAGAAAGCCACGGCUAACUACGUGCCAGCAGCCGCGGUAAUACGUAGGUGGCAAGCGUUAUCCGGAAUUAUUGGGCGUAAAGCGCGCGUAGGCGGUUUUUUAAGUCUGAUGUGAAAGCCCACGGCUCAACCGUGGAGGGUCAUUGGAAACUGGAAAACUCGAGUGCAGAAGAGGAAAGUGGAAUUCCAUGUGUAGCGGUGAAAUGCGCAGAGAUAUGGGGGAACACCAGUGGCGAAGGCGACUUUCUGGUCUGUAACUGACGCUGAUGUGCGAAAGCGUGGGGAUCAAACAGG
rnacentral:rRNA from 1 species